UCUCUUGGGAGAGACUACCGGACCUGAAAAGUGGCCAGAUGCUAGCAGGAUUGUGGAAGCAGUCUGCCGCCAGUUGUGCGAUCUGCACCCAUCUUCUGUACAGACAAAGGGGGUGUGGGUCGAAAGGUGGGCGCUGAUACUUUGAGACUACCAAAGCAUAAGACAGCUAGUCCUAAACACUCCAAUGCUGCUGAGCAGGACUACGCUGCAGCUGUUUGAAAUAAAUCGGCGAACUCUUAUGCAGCGGUUCAACAAACGUCAGAAGGCCCAAGAGUGUGCUGUUCUUCUUCAGGGGGUGGAGCGACCGAGUGCCAGCGCUGUGGCCCAGGAUCCACUCCCACCCCCAUGUGAGCAGCCCUUUGCAUUCCAGCCAUUCACCUUCACAAAUGCCUCAAGCUCCCCGUGCUCGCCUUGUCCUUCCUGCUGCCUCUGUGACUCAGACACAGCCUGUAUGUGUUUUUAUUCCACCGCCUCCUUCAUCGCAUAUUCCGGUACCAGUGUUUCAGCCAGUCCAGUACACCGCUCAAUCACCCACAGCAGUGACAGGAGCAGCAGUACAGGUUGAACAAGUUUCACCAAUCACAGCCUGGUACCGUAAGAAGACUAAGGGCACCCAGAGGCGCAAGUAUGAACGCUCCAGUGAGCACAACUUGUGCUCUAAAUGUGGUCAGCCCAAACAAAAGGAAUUUGGCCACAACAGGUUUGGAAGCGAGACCUUUCGUGCUGCAACCUCAUCACUAACUGUGGACCAGUGGUUGGCACAGAUGAGUGAAAAACUACAAGAAGUAACAUUUUAUAAGCAAUUUAAUGUCUUCUACUUCAAGAACUUCUUCACUGUUUGUUUACCAGUUCAAUUUAACAAUCGUUUUAUGCUGCACUGUGCAGAAUUGUCCUGUUUGUAUUGAUUAGAAUUGAUUGUUUUAUUAUACUGCACUUUAUAUUGAGCAGACUUUUCCUGUUUGUAUUGAUUAGAAUUGUGUUAUUAUUCUGCUCUGUUUAUAUUGUGCAGAAUUUUCCUGUUAGUAUUGAUUAUAAUUGAUUGUUGUAUUAUACCGCACUGUUUAUAUUGUGCAGUGUUUUUCUGUUUGUACUGAAAGACUUGAUUGUUUUAUUAUACUGCACUUUAUAUUUUAUUUUAAAAAAUGUUUUAAUUUCUUCAAACAAUUCUUAUUUUCAUUUAUAGUGCCCUAUUCAAUGUUACCACCCAUGGGACACCAUUAAAAACCACCGGCAACUGUUAGAACCCACCGUCGACAGUUAUACCCCACGGGCGACCGCUAAAAACCAGCAACUGUUAGAAACCUCCGGCAACCAUUAGAAACACUGGGAGCCGUUUGCGUAGACCAGUCGUGAUCAGGCUGGGUCGUUCUUCUUUUUUUUUUACUUCAUGUAUGGUAACACUAUAAUCUAUUUUCAGUGCCUGCCGAUGAGACGGCAGUGUAAGCUUUUCCUCAUUUGCACAGCCUUCAAGAACUUAACAUGCAGAACUUUUGCAUGUAAAAGACAUGAUUUCAUCAAGCUUGUAUUGCAAGUAAGUAAAUUAAAUACAUUUUAGCUGACUGGUCAACGCAUACAUUCCAUUGCAUAAUCUUGUCACAGUAUUUACUGUAUUGAAAUAAAAGAUUGAGUGACAA